rnacentral:rRNA from 1 species
GCAUAUCAAUAAGCGGAGGAAAAGAAACCAACAGGGAUUGCCCCAGUAACGGCGAGUGAAGCGGCAACAGCUCAAAUUUGAAAUCUGGCCUUCGGGUCCGAGUUGUAAUUUGGAGAGGAUGCUUUUGGCGCGGCGCCGUCCGAGUUCCUUGGAACAGGACGCCAUAGAGGGUGAGAGCCCCGUACGGGCGGCCGCCUAGCCUUUGUAAAGCUCCUUCGACGAGUCGAGUAGUUUGGGAAUGCUGCUCAAAAUGGGAGGUAAAUUUCUUCUAAAGCUAAAUACCGGCCAGAGACCGAUAGCGCACAAGUAGAGUGAUCGAAAGAUGAAAAGCACUUUGAAAAGAGGGUUAAAAAGUACGUGAAAUUGUUGAAAGGGAAGCGCCUGUGACCAGACUUGCGACCCGUGGAUCAUCCGGUGUUCUUCACCGGUGCACUCCGCGGGCUGCAGGCCAGCAUCGGUUUUCCUAGGGGGUUAAAGGUCGCAGGAACGUAGCUCUUUCGGGAGUGUUAUAGCCUGUGGCGCCAUGCCUCUGGGGAGACCGAGGACCGCGCUUCGGCAAGGAUGCUGGCGUAAUGGUCACCGGCGACCCGUCUUGAAACACGGACCAAGGAGUCAAGCAUUGGGGCGAGUGUCUGGGUGCCAAACCCGCACGCGAAAUGAAAGUAAACGCAGGUGAGAGCUUCGGCGCAUCACCGACCGAUCCUGAUGUCUUCGGAUGGAUUUGAGUAAGAGCCUUACCGCUUGGACCCGAAAGAUGGUGAACUAUGCCUGUAUAGGGUGAAGCCAGAGGAAACUCUGGUGGAGGCUCGCAGCGGUUCUGACGUGCAAAUCGAUCGUCAAAUAUGGGCAUGGGGGCGAAAGACUAAUCGAACCAUCUAGUAGCUGGUUACCGCCGA